CUUUAUCUUACCUCUCUCCUUUGUUCUCAAUCGAUUGUAAAAUGUUUCUCCUACAACAAAGAUCUACUUUUUUUUCUCUCUCCCCCUUUCACUCUUCCAUGGCGCUUCUGCAAUCCCAGCUGUCUGUUACUGGUGAUUCUACAUAAACAAACCCCCCUUUCAUAUUCCCCUUCAAUUUACGCACACAACAACAACAACAUCCAUCGUUUCCGCAUUCGUGCAUCAGCAACUCUUGAAUCCAACGAUGGCGCCGCCACCCUCUCCGCCAUUGUUACUCAUGGAAGACGGUACUUUCCACUCGCCGCAGUUGUUGGACAAGCAUGUUAUUCUUACUCAUGAAGUUGUGAAGCUUUUUCCAAAGAAUUGACUUAUAUCCGAGUGAGAGAGACAUUGCAGAGCACAAAGAAGGAUUAUGCCAAAACGGAAGACGAUUUGAAGUCCCUUCAAAGCGUUGGACAGAUCAUAGGCGAGGUGCUAAGACCUCUGGAUAGUGAACGAUGUAACUACUACCUUUGCUAUUUUACUUCCGUUUACUUUUUACUUUGAUUGUACACUAUGUUUUAAUUUUCACUCUUUUGUUUUAAGUCAUGAAUAGGCAAGUUAUGUGUAAUGUGUGAAAUAGAAAUUUAAAACCAAUGUGGAGUGUAGCUGCCUUGUAAUUUGAAUCAUUAAAACAUGUUGUAUUUUGGAA